UACGAAGGGGGCUAGCGUUGCUCGGAAUCACUGGGCGUAAAGCGCACGUAGGCGGACUCUUAAGUCGGUGGUGAAAUCCUGGAGCUCAACUCCAGAACUGCCUUCGAUACUGGGAGUCUCGAGUUCGGGAGAGGUGAGUGGAACUGCGAGUGUAGAGGUGAAAUUCGUAGAUAUUCGCAAGAACACCAGUUGCGAAGGCGGCCGACUGGACACAUAUUGACGCUGAGGCUCGAAAGCAUGGGGAGCAAACAGG
rnacentral:rRNA from 1 species